GGAUGUCCCUGGAGGGCUCCACCCGCGGAGACGCCAAGUACAAAGCGCCCGGUGGCGGCGACCACGUUCUCGCCUCUGCUACGGGCAGGUCUCCCCGCAGCACCCCCCACUACGGAAGCCCCAUCAACACGUUCACCGUGCGGCCUGGGACCCGCCAUCCCAUCUCCUACGCCUACCCAGGGCUCCAUCCAGGGGCCCAUCGGAAUGCCCUAUCCUGAGCCCCCAGGGGCGGGCCUGGCAGCUCUCCUCCGAGGGUUCGAUCUGGGCACUGGUUUUCGUGGGGGUGGGAGGGGCGCAGCCGGACUCAGACACAGAGGAGCCUUUUGUUCCCGGAAGACAGAGAUGGACAGCCAGCAAGAAGCAGUGGCCAGAGGAAGAUCGGAGUGGGCCUCUGUUUCCCAGGGAGCUGUGGACGGCCUGCGGAUGGCGGGGAGGGGAAGGAGGGAGGAGAGGAGGCGGCUCCCAGGGCCUGGAGCAUGGCUUUCCGCUAUCAGGCACUAUCUGCCUGAGUAAGGCUCCUUUAAAGCAGGUUCUAAAAAGGAGGGGCGGGCAUUAAACCUGAAGGGGAACGGGUCUUGGGGUGGCUGUGAUUGCUGUCAGGCCCUCAUGAAGGGCUUGGCGGGUGUGGGUGAGGGCGCCACAGGUUGCUCUCUCCAGCCUCCAUCAGUUGCCACCCCCAGAGCUGAUUCCUGCGGCUCCUAGCAUAGGAGGUGGGACCGGGAAUGUGCCUACACGGCAUGUGGCGAAGGUGCCAGGCAGGGCUUUGCACUGAUUGGCGGAGGGAAGGGUCCCGGGGAAUUGAUGAUUCAUUUCUCUCUGGCCCUGGUCUUCAGCUCGGGAGCCCUGAAGGCAGAAGCCUGGCCAGUCCGGGUUGGGAGCAGAGAAUGAAGGCUGGCUUUUCUACUUGGACCCGGGUGCUGUGAUUUGGAGAUGGGGCUCCAGGAGCCUGAAGGCCGAGGGCUCAACACCAAAAGCCUUACCUAGCCGAGUCCUACCAGGGGUUUGGAGGGGGCAUCGUUCCCAGCUCCUCCUCCCAACCCCCGUGCUACAGGUCCCCGAUAUUAGUGAGGCCUUAAAAUGUGUCACCACAAUGCUGGGAGGUGUUGGAGAGCGGGAGGUGGCAGAGAGGGGAGGUGUGAUCUGAGAGAUCUUUGCCAACAGGCAUGUUUCUGAAAGUCAAGAGCGGUGGGGCUGGGCCAGUCCAGAGCAGGGACCCCUCGGUAGGGCAGCCAUGCAUCCUUCCCCUGAGCAGUCCUGGUGUGUGCCUGGUUUCCAGUGAAUCAGACCCCCUUCCGCUCUCAUUCAAGUCCUGGUGUGGAUGAUACGUGGUCGCCAAACAUGUCAGGAAGCAGCGUUCCUCGGUCUGUCCUCCCUGCCUUGGUGGGCCGGAUUCCUGGGACCAGGCCGAGGCAGGCUGCCUGGUGAGGAGGGAGGGCAGGGAGGGGCCCACCGCAGAGGUGCAAGCCUGGCGUGGGCAGCAAGGAAUCGGUUCCUUUUGGGGAAGGAUGGUGGACCUCUGUGAUUUGUGGUGACCUGCUGAGGUGCCAGCUUAGGGGGACAGCAGGUGAGCCACUCCAGGGAGAGAGCGCAGGAGAGGGCAGGCACCCUAAUGGGCAGGACCUUGUGUUCAAGAAGCGAACGCCGCCCGGCACUGUCACUGGCUCUGUAUGUAUGUGUCUUCCCUGUACAUGUUUUAUAAGAGUCCCCUAAUUUAUCUGCUGUGUGAGGGCUGAGGGGCGGGGCAUGGGCUCCCAGCUGUAGCUUGCUCCGGGUGGGUGGGAAGGACAGGUUCUCGCGUGGCUUGAGAAAUGCACAGGCCAGUGGGGCCUGGCCUCCUGCAGGUUGGUGACUCGGAGCUCACAGGGCGCGAGGAGAGGUUGGGAGAGCUGGGAGGGAAGGCUGAGCACAGGGUGGUGGCUGCACUGACGGGGGAGCCAUUCCGCUAGACCCAAACGUUCUCUCUGACCCUUCGGUUCCCUUGUUCUCCAAAUCCAUCAGGGGGAGGAGCCGGGCUGAAGCCUGGCAAGAACCAGCUGUCCUUCAGCAAGUCUCUGACUCUCCACCGUGGUUCCUCUGCACCAGGCAUGACCAUGAUAGCUACCUCAUAAGGCUGUUGUGAAGACGGGAGACAGUCCUGAGUUCAUUUAACAAGUUAUUGGAGUGACCACUAGGGGCUGGCACUGUGCUUAGCAUGGAGGGACAGCAGUCGGUACACUGACGUGACUCCUGCCCAUGGCAAGAUGGUAGCCGAGUGGAGGAGAGGGGAUGAAAGGAGCACACAGGAAGGAACGGAACGUGAGGAUAACGGAAGGUGAGGGAAAGCAGUGGAUUUAGUCUAACCAGGCAGUCAGGGAGGCCUCCUGAAGGGGUGACAUUUAUGCCGAUGUCGGCAAAGCAUCCGGCACAUGCCUGGCACUUGGUAGCUGCUCAAUAAAUGCAUCUUUGGGUGGUGACAACUUCA